rnacentral:rRNA from 1 species
GACAGAGGGUGCAAACGUUGUUCGGAAUUACUGGGCGUAAAGCGCGUGUAGGCUGCUCUGCAAGUCGGGUGUGAAAGCCCCGGGCUCAACCUGGGAAGUGCACUCGAAACUGCAGAGCUCGAGUCCUGGAGAGGAAGGCGGAAUUCUCGGUGUAGAGGUGAAAUUCGUAGAUAUCGAGAGGAACACCGGUGACGAAGGCGGCCUUCUGGACAGUGACUGACGCUGAGACGCGAAAGCGUGGGGAGCAAACAGG